CCAUGACCCGAUCCGGGAAAGGUGAGAACCGUCGACCCAGGUUCGCGUCGAGCAACGCGAGACAACGUUGCCGCAGGCCACGGCCGUAGGGCGAGCCGCAGCGCGGCGAGUCAUCCUUCCCCCGUCUUCU
rnacentral:sRNA from 1 species